CCUACGGGGGGCUGCAGUGGGGAAUAUUGGACAAUGGGGGCAACCCUGAUCCAGCCAUGCCGCGUGUGUGAAGAAGGCCCUCGGGUUGUAAAGCACUUUCAGUGAGGAAGAACGCCUGGUGGUUAAUACCCUUCAGGAAAGACAUCACUCACAGAAGAAGCACCGGCUAACUCCGUGCCAGCAGCCGCGGUAAUACGGAGGGUGCGAGCGUUAAUCGGAAUUACUGGGCGUAAAGCGCGCGUAGGUGGCUUGAUAAGCCGGUUGUGAAAGCCCCGGGCUCAACCUGGGAACGGCAUCCGGAACUGUCAAGCUAGAGUGCAGGAGAGGAAGGUAGAAUUCCCGGUGUAGCGGUGAAAUGCGUAGAGAUCGGGAGGAAUACCAGUGGCGAAGGCGGCCUUCUGGACUGACACUGACACUGAGGUGCGAAAGCGUGGGUAGCAAACAGGAUUAGAUACCCGGGUAGUC
rnacentral:rRNA from 1 species